CAUCAGCUGCGUGAGCAACUUGCUCUGUUUAACAGCCAGAUGACUCAGCGAGGAUUUAAACUUCACAGAGAGCAAAAGCUAAAUGGCCUCUAGAGAUCGAACAGUUUGAAUCUUCAUUUAUAAUUUCGUGACUUUAUUACUCUGUUCGGCGCCUAUUGCCUGCCAACCUGCAGCAAUCGUGACAAAGCAGAAGCUUAUGCAGGCAAUGUUUUUCAAGUCAUGGGUAAAAGAAAUAAAAACGAGGAAAUUAAUUGUUGUAAAGGCAAGGAGCAGUGAACCCUCCCUAAGGCGACCAUCUAUGGCUCCAGAUAAUUUGGUCGUCUGUGAAGCUGCUAUGUGGAAAAUGUGAUCUUCAGUACACGAAGUAAUCCUUGUUCAAGCUUAUCUAAUGAUCCUGGAGGAGGAAUUAAAGCAGCAACCUGUCUCCCAAGGUAGUUCCAAAGAUGCAUUCCUUCUCCGGGAUUCGAACCCGGGAUCUUCGGUAUCGUAGUCGGCUCCCCUAACUAGUAUACCGUCUUGGCGGCUAGGCGAACUUUUAGUAAAGCAGAUUAUAAAACUGCAGUAAAAUCAGCAAAAAUCUGCUUUUUAAAUUUAUAAAAUACGGCGAAAUGAUUCGAGCAAUGAAAUAAAAAUAUUCGAAAGACAAGUCUAAGCUUACCUAUAAGAAUAUUGCAUUUUACAGCAUACCUUACCAUUUACGCUUUAACGUUCAUUGCUAAAUUAAAAAAUUACAAAAGUUGUUUUGACACUAAAAUCGUGCUUAAGGCCCGAAUAUUAAGGAAAUUCAAAAUACUAUCCUCUAAACAACCUCCAGCUUAGAAGGUUUAUCAUUAUUUUCUAUAAAAAUUAAAACACAGAA